CAGUAGCCGCGGUAAUACAGAGGGUGCGAGCGUUAAUCGGAUUUACUGGGCGUAAAGCGUGCGUAGGCGGCUUCUUAAGUCGGAUGUGAAAUCCCUGAGCUUAACUUAGGAAUUGCAUUCGAUACUGGGAAGCUAGAGUAUGGGAGAGGAUGGUAGAAUUCCUGGUGUAGCGGUGAAAUGCGUAGAGAUCUGGAGGAAUACCGAUGGCGAAGGCAGCCAUCUGGCCUAAUACUGAUGCUGAGGUACGAAAGCAUGGGGAGCAAACAGGAUUAGAGACCCGCGUAGUCCCUGUCUCUUAUAA
rnacentral:rRNA from 1 species